rnacentral:rRNA from 1 species
GAUGAACGCUGGCGGCGUGCCUAAUACAUGCAAGUCGAGCGAACAGACGAGGAGCUUGCUCCUCUGACGUUAGCGGCGGACGGGUGAGUAACACGUGGAUAACCUACCUAUAAGACUGGGAUAACUUCGGGAAACCGGAGCUAAUACCGGAUAAUAUAUUGAACCGCAUGGUUCAAUAGUGAAAGACGGUUUUGCUGUCACUUAUAGAUGGAUCCGCGCCGCAUUAGCUAGUUGGUAAGGUAACGGCUUACCAAGGCAACGAUGCGUAGCCGACCUGAGAGGGUGAUCGGCCACACUGGAACUGAGACACGGUCCAGACUCCGACGGGAGGCAGCAGUAGGGAAUCUUCCGCAAUGGGCGAAAGCGUGACGGAGCAACGCCGCGUGAGUGAUGAAGGUCUUCGGAUCGUAAAACUCUGUUAUUAGGGAAGAAAAAAUGUGUAAGUAACUAUGCACGUCUUGACGGUACCUAAUCAGAAAGCCACGGCUAACUACGUG